AAAAAGAGGAGGGAAAAAGAAAGAACAGAAAGUAGAACAUGUGAAGGAAAAGGGCAGCAAAGAAAGAGGAAAUUCAGAGAAAGGAGAAACAAGUGCUGGAAGUAAAGGAGUAGAUGGUGGGGGAGGAGGCAGCACAAAGAGAUCUGAUGUACAGGGCUUUUAGUCCACUCUAAAAUGGAUCUUAGACUAUCUCAAGCUGUGCGCUGCAGAGAGUAGUUUUGAACUGAGAGGAAGAGCGAUGAACAUGUAUCAGAAGAGAAAAUCAGCUGCUGCUUGGGAAGCAACUGGGAAGUUUGCUCCUUCCUCACAAGACUGAGGGUAUAAUUAGAACCACGCACCUGCUCAGUCCUCCGGUGACUCAAGCCUGGAAUCUCCUGUGUUAGAACACUUCGCUGCUCCCAGAAGGCCCUGUAAGAUCCCAGGGAGGCAGCAGCCAACAGAGGAUAUUCACUAAAGACCAAGCAGCAGAGCAGCACUUUGGUAUUCCCUGAAGACAUCAAAAAUGAGAGGAAAUGUCCACUAAGAAUAAGUCUCCCGUGAAAUGUUACAUGUACUCGGCAAACUCCUGAACCCACUGCUGCCACGGAAAACUCUCACUGAUGGGUAGCUCCGAGAACUCACCCUCCAAUUAUGUACCACAGAGCUAUGGAUGUGUUUUUAUUGAGGAGAAUAAAAACCACAAGAAGUGCUCUACAACAGACCACAAAAUGGGUUUGGCACCUGUGUCUGCCCGGAGCCGAAGUUUCGGAGUUGUGUUAUCACGUGGCCCGCUGACCCCAGGAGAGCAGGGCUGACCUUGUCUUACACACAGAAGUCUAUUGCUAUGACUCCCCUGAGAGCACAA